rnacentral:rRNA from 1 species
AACGAACGCUGGCGGCAUGCCUAACACAUGCAAGUCGAACGGGAUCCUAGCUUGCUAGGUGAGAGUGGCGGACGGGUGAGUAACACGUGGGAAUCUGCCUUUUGGUUCGGGAUAACCGCGGGAAACUGCGGCUAAUACCGAAUGCCCUCGAGAGAGGAAAGAUUUAUCGCCAGAAGAGGAGCCCGCGUCCGAUUAGGUAGUUGGUGGGGUAAAGGCCUACCAAGCCGACGAUCGGUAGCUGGUCUGAGAGGAUGACCAGCCACACUGGGACUGAGACACGGCCCAGACUCCUACGGGAGGCAGCAGUGGGGAAUAUUGCGCAAUGGGCGAAAGCCUGACGCAGCGACGCCGCGUGGGUGAUGAAGGCCUUCGGUC